rnacentral:rRNA from 1 species
AUUGAACGCUGGCGGCAGGCCUAACACAUGCAAGUCGAACGAGUGGCGGACGGGCGAGUAAUGUCUGGGAAACUGCCCGAAGGAUGGGGAUAACUACUGGAAACGGUCGCUAUAACCGCCAAACAUAGGCUGUGCCCAGGUUGGAUUAGCUAGUAGGUGGGGUAACCGCUCACCUAGGCGACGAUCCAUAGCUGGUCUGCGAGGGUGCCCGGCCACAAUGGAACUGAGACACGGUCCAGACUCCUACGGGAGGCAGCAGUGGGGAAUAUUGCACAAUGGGCGCAAGCCUGACGGAGCCAUGCCGCGUGUAUGAAGAAGGCCUUCGGGUGGUAAAGUUCUUUUAGUGAGGAUGCGUUACUCGCAGAGGAAGCCACGGCUAACUACGUGCCAGCCGCCGCGGUAAUAC